rnacentral:rRNA from 1 species
AUGGGGAGAACGACGGCGAGGCGGGUGGCAGUGGAAGUGGUAACAAGGAGAAGGCGAAGGCGAAGGGAAGCGCGGGGAGAUCGGGGAAGAAGAAGGCGAGCAAGCCGCGGUUCGCAGACGAGGAGCGAGAACGAUAUCCUGGACGACGGCUACCGCUGGAGGAAGUACGGGCAGAAGGCCGUCAAGAACAGCUCCAACCCUAGGAGCUACUACCGGUGCACCCAUCCCACAUGCAACGUGAAGAAGCAGGUGCAGCGCCUGGCCAAGGACACGGCCAUCGUGGUGACCACGUACGAGGGUGUGCACAACCACCCGUGCGAGAAGCUCAUGGAGGCGCUCGGCCCCAUCCUGAAGCAGCUCCAGUUCCUCUCCCAAUUCUGA